GGGUUUGUAGUUCAAUUGGUUAGAACUUAGAGCACGGUUACUUUACAAUGCACAGGGGCCGUAUGUGAGUUCGAGUCCCAUCGAACCCA